rnacentral:tRNA from 2 species
CCCGAUGUCAUCUAGUGGCCUAGGAUGCCGCCCUGUCGAGGCGGUCACGCGAGUUCAAAUCUCGUCGUCGGGAC